CCGAUCGGUCAACCCACGCCCGCGCAUCUUGCAAUCGCUAUCCUCUUCUCCCUCUUCACGCUCGCCCCUCACGCCGUCACAGCCAUGCCACGCCGCCAACAAAGGGACGCCUUCCGGUCAUAGCCUUGAUGAUCCUUCUCUCCCCACGCCGCUGUCGCCCCAUGAUCUCCACCAGCGCCACGACGGCCCCAUGAUCUCCACCAGCGCCACGACGGCCAUGGCCUUCCCAUGCGUCGCCGUCUCCCCUCCAGAUCUGGCCGCCAACGACGCCCUCUACAGCGGUCAAGGUCGAGGGGGCGCGCCAUCCUUCUAGCGUGGUGGGCGACCGGGGGAAGGUCGACAAGGAAUAGGAGCCCAGUGGCACGCCAUGUCUCACAGCCACUAUUGGAUCGGAAGGGGAUGAAAAGGAGAAAGAGGACACCCCUGGUGGCGCAGGCAUCCAACGUCCCGGACAACGUCCUCCGCGACGUCCUUCUCCAUGCCCGAAUCCACUGCUCUUCAAGCUACGUUGCCUGCAACUACAAGGUCCACACCACAACUCCCGCUACUGAUGUGUCACAAUUGAGGCCAUGGCUCGCAAGGGGUAGGUCGUUCUCGAUUUUUUCCGCUCGGUCUACGGCCUCCUUUGCCCAUGGUCAGAUCUUCUCAUCGCCGGCCACAGGAGGACAAUGAUCUAGCCGUGCUCCAAAACUACCACCACCAAGCAGGGGAGCAUUGCGCCGGCCUCCUCUCCUCUGGUCCCAAGUCCGACCACCACCACAACCAGGCGUGCUCCUCCAUAGGCCCAACUGUGGAGUCCGGAGCAACCAAGGCCAACCAAGUUGUUGGAGGACAAAUUUUCUCUGUUCUCAAAGCUUGUAGUGGAAUACAUGAUGAGGUUGAUGCACAAUUGAGCCAGCAUCACAAAUGUUAUCAAAUGAAAUUUUACUUUAUCCAAAUUGUUUUAUGCAAAUAUUAGAAAUAUACUAUGCCUCUCUGAUUCAUCGGAUGUGGUGAAGAGGCUGGCAUGUAAUAUGUGAAAUUCGUAUAGCUGCGCACUACCGGGCAUAGAAGGAUGUGCUGGCUCUCGACUUAUUUCUGCAGGCGACGACAUAUCAUGAACUAACUGGAGGAGCCAAACUGGAUUUGAAAGGUGUGCUGACCAGUCCCUCUGCUCUACCCACAUGAUAGUAUGUAAACGAAUGACUAGAUACUUUUCAUCAGAAAAAAAAGGAACGCGUAGAUAUUUUACUUGGUUUUCUUUCAUGUUGGCCUUAACUAACAAACAUGUUCUCAGCAAGUUCUCCACCUUUGCCAUGGGAUGAGAAUGACGCUUACACAACAGAGGUUUUUCAGUUUUAUUGUCAGGUCUAUUUACGCAUUCUGUAUUUUACUUGAGAGUGAACUUCUAAGGCUGUACCUUCUGCAAAGUGCUAGCACCUACAGAUGAUCCGAAUUUUCCUCUUGUAAAUGUCAUGAGGCAUGAGCCACAACCUCUUCGUAGAACAUUAAAACAAAACAUUGAUCCCCCUGUGGGUACACAAACAUUGUCCUUCUGAUUUAUUUUUCCAAUAGAUGAUUGUGGACCAAGUUUUUUCAAUCUAUGCCCUUUUUGCUGCACAAUUUUUUUUGGUGCUGCCAUAUAAGUUAUAUUAUUAAUAUACUUUAGUGUUGUUAUUAGUAGUUGACUUAUCUAGCAAUAGAAUGUUGGGACGAUAGCUCUAGCCUCUGCCAACAUUCUGAAAACUGUAGCAUCCUUUAUACUAAUAUAUUACAUGUUUUUGGAUGGUUCUUUUUCUUGAGCGGCCGCUCCUGUCCACGGUCUCCUUGAUCUCAGGAUCUGCUCCUUCCCCACGCCUGCCCACGAGGACAAGGAGGCAUGGCGGUGGCCACUAGCAGCGCCAGGAGGUUUUAAGCUCAGGUGUCAUGUGUGGUGACGAGCUCAUCAUCGCGGGAUUGGUCACGUUCGGAUGUGUUGUGAUCAAGUGAACACCAUGGCCAUCGCCGGUGAUGGUGGGAAGGAAGAUAAGCACGUCAGAUCGGGUGAUGUGUUGAAAUUGAUGACUUGGACCUGCUGGCAGUCUUGAGUCAUGCUUAUUGGGCUAAAGAAACUGAUGUUGACGGAGGUAAUGACAAACAAGAUGGUGAAUCUGAAAAUGUGAACACACAAGAUCUCUAAGAAAUGAUUUGGUAGAUGGCACAAUUACCGCAACCAACUCCACAACCUGAUUCUGUCUGGGCCGGCCCUUGGAGGGUUGUGAUGCAGGUGCAGUUGAAGCUGCCAUAGGGCAUGAAAAACGUGUUACAUUUUGUUUGGGAGGGAGUGAUUUUUAACGUCGGAUAACUUAUUAGAAACCAUGCGAUGUGAGAGUCACGGUAAGCACGAUACGAUGAGGGUCACUUGCCUUGGAUUUAUUCUAACAUCGGCAGGUAUCUACAUUGAAGCGUCGUCUAAUCCGUCCCGACGAAAGAAGUUGAGGAUCGGAGCCUGGAAGACAUAUGACGACGUUGUUGAGCAAGCUUGAACAUUUGUACAAAAUGUAUGACUGUGCUGAGAAGCAUUAUACUCGUGACAAACUUCAGAAAUAUACUGAAAAUUCAAAGAACUGUAAAUUUUUUCUCGUGUCAAAAGGAACACACGCCAUACAUGUGAUCAACCAUCUCGAAAAAGCUUGAACCAUGCACAACACAUGACAGUGGUAACCAAUAUCAUAGUCAUGGCAAAAUUUUGAAAAAUUGCCAAAGAUUCAAACAACUAUGAAUUGUUUUUGCACGAAAAGAGAACACAUGAUGCAUAAAGUAACCCCUAACCUCCAAAGGGAACAGCUCUCGUAGAUGGUUGACAUGGCAUACACACCUAGGUUUUUGUCCCCACUAAAAGGACACGUUGGGCCCAUGUGUCUUCUUGUGCGUGGCUUUGUUCUUGCGUGUGCUAGAAUAUAUAGGGCAAUUAAUAUAUUAUAAUAACCGUGUAGUACGGACGGGACCGAGUCCUUGCGGAAAUUGUGGACGUAGCGUUGGCGUUAUGGAAAGUGAUUAAAACCAUAUAUAUUUUGUUGCCAGAAUAUAAUACAACGGUGGAGUGCACGGCACGGGACCGAGUCCCAGCCGAACUUGUGGACGCAGAUGUUGCCGUAUAUAUAGCUGGAGAGUUUUGGAAGCUAUUGAAAGCGAAAUAUUUCGGUGCUAGAAUUAUGGAGAGCCAACAGGUGGAUCACAAUACUACGGCGAAUAUAAAGUAGCGGUUGGCAUGCAACGCACGAAAUAUGGUGGUUGCCACCCACCUCAUGUUAGGUUACCCCUCCACCUCUCCUCGACCUAUAAAAAGAGCCCCCUCCCUUCUUCCUUUUCCCCACUGCCAUCGCCAGUUACCUUCUCAAUGUUCUCUUCGUCAUAUAAACUAGCUUACCGUUCAUGGAGACGAAAGGUCGACCAAGACGAGCCAAGGCCGCGCGACAAGGGUUCUUCUCCUCGCACAGCAGAGGAACAAAUCUUGGAUGGCUUGUUUCUCUUUUGUGCGAAGAAUUGAAUCCCGGCGAAACGUGCUUAGUAUAUUUGUCUGAUUUGUAAAGAUUUUUAUCAAUUAAGUAUCGAUAUUUCGGGCUCUUAUCUCUUUUUCCUAUCGGCUAUUGAAGUUUCAGUUGCAGGUUCAACAUAUCUGCGCUUCGCUUGCAUCUUGAGACUCGGAUGUGCAACCAUCUGCCUUAAAACUUCAUUCUUUAGAUAUAACAUUGGGUGACAGUAUGUCAUGCGGAGCAGGAUGCAGUUUUGCGCAAUGACUCAGUUUCGACCCUGUGCCUCGCAUAUAUAUUUUUUUUCUUUUCUCUACUCGUUUUUUUUUUCUUUUCUUCCAAAGGUACGGUGGGGAGAAAUAAUUUCGAAAGGGUGGGCUGAACUUUAAUCCCUCCAGCGGCUAAAGUCCGGUCCAGCCGGCGGAAGGGCCCAGCUAGCGAAAAUCGUCAACGCCAUAUAAGCCGGGGGAUACCUUCGCUGCGCUCCUCUCUCCUCACCCGCAUCACCGCCGCUGCCGUCGCUCUCCGUCCCGGAUUCGGCCCUACCCCUGCCGUCGCUCUCACUCCCCCCAUCUGACCCGACAGUCGAGAUGGAAGUUCCUUUUGGUGACAUUCCUCUUUUCCUGGAGCCUAAUGAACAAGUCAGGAAUUAUGCCAUUCGUGCAAGUCGUCGCGCAGCUGGUGCCAAGGUGUCAUGGACUACCAACAUUCUGCCCCUGUCUGAAGUGUCAGACGAUAUCAUGAAUGAUAAGUUUUUCGUUGAGACCAUUUUCCGCAACCACAAUGGAGGGACAAGAAGAUUCUCGUACUUAUCUGGAACACUCUUAUACAAGUUUCAUUCACUCUAUAUGUGUUCAUGCACUUCAUCUAAUGAAUUUCCCUUUUUUGAUUCUUAGUUUUAUUCUCAAUGGAGGUUCUACCAUUGACCAUGUUUGUGAUCUGAGCUUUUCUCCUAACAAAUUCUGAGUUUACCUUUAACAGCUUUGUAUUGAUACUAUAUGAUAUGAUUGUUCUUCAGGUGGAUUCGUCUGUCAAAUCUAAUAUUCGUCCCUUGUUGAACAAGCAAUUGGUCAAAACUCUGCCUGCAACGACUACUGAACUCUAUUUUUGUCUAUCUGAAUUUUGUCAUGUAUGACUUUGGUAUGAUUUUUGGUUGGUUAUGCACUGAUCAUUGGUUGCUUGCUUGUUGAACAAGCAAUUGGUCAAAA